GGGGUCGACUGGUUUUGACAGUAAGUAGCAUUGAGAAGUAAGCAUACCGAGCUGUGAAAUGAAUGCUCGUUAAAAUCUAUUUCAAAAUUUUAAAUGGCGAGAAUAACUACGCUCUUGCUGCCUAGUCUGAAGUUUUAGUACGACUCUGGCUAAGUCCUUACAGGGUAAGGAAGCGAGAUGUCUCUGAAAAGCCCUUGUUGACGGCGGUUCGUAAAGAGGCACCAUAAAAGUCAACAUUGAGCUGGCGGUUUGCCUCUGCUAAAAGCUCGUAGUUUUAAGAGGAUAGGCAUAAAGUGGGCGGUUCUUGGUCAGCUUUAUGAUGAAAACUAAACAGGAACUAAGUAUGUAGAAAGCUUUUUAAUGGCUUAUUUGGACGAGAGUUCGAUUCUCUCCGACUCCACAA
rnacentral:tmRNA from 1 species